AGUGAACGCUGGCGGUAGGCCUAACACAUGCAAGUCGAACGGCAGCACAGUAAGAGCUUGCUCUUACGGGUGGCGAGUGGCGGACGGGUGAGGAAUACAUCGGAAUCUACUUUUUCGUGGGGGAUAACGUAGGGAAACUUACGCUAAUACCGCAUACGACCUACGGGUGAAAGCAGGGGAUCUUCGGACCUUGCGCAAUUGAAUGAGCCGAUGUCGGAUUAGCUAGUUGGCGGGGUAAAGGCCCACCAAGGCGACGAUCCGUAGCUGGUCUGAGAGGAUGAUCAGCCACACUGGAACUGAGACACGGUCCAGACUCCUACGGGAGGCAGCAGUGGGGAAUAUUGGACAAAGGGCGCAAGCCUGAUCCAGCCAUACCGCGUGGGUGAAGAAGGCCUUCGGGUUGUAAAGCCCUUUUGUUGGGAAAGAAAAGCAGCAGGUUAAUACCCCGCUGUUCUGACGGUACCCAAAGAAUAAGCACCGGCUAACUUCGUG
rnacentral:rRNA from 1 species